rnacentral:rRNA from 1 species
UACGAAGGGGGGCUAGCGUUGCUCGGAAUCACUGGGCGUAAAGCGCACGUAGGCGGAUUGUUAAGUCAGGGGUGAAAUCCUGGAGCUCAACUCCAGAACUGCCUUUGAUACUGGCGAUCUUGAGUCCGGGGAGAGGUGAGUGGAACUGCGAGUGUAGAGGUGAAAUUCGUAGAUAUCGCAAGAACACCAGUGGCGAAGGCGGACUCACUGGCCCGGGUACUGACGCUGGACGGUGCGAAAGCGUGGGGAGC